CGUCUCAGUUCAGAUUGCAGGCUGCAACUCGCCUGCAUGAAGUCGGAAUUGCUAGUAAUCGCAGAUCAGCAUGCUGCGGUGAAUACGUUCCCGGGCCUUGUACACACCGCCCGUCACACCAUGGGAGUCGGUAACACCCGAAGUCGGUAGCCUAACCGUAAGGAGGGCGCCGCCGAAGGUGGGAUUGAUAACUGGGGUGAAGUCGUAACAAGGUACC
rnacentral:rRNA from 1 species